rnacentral:lncRNA from 10 species
GAAAACACAACAUACCAAAAUUUGUGAGAACAGUUAAAGCAAGGCUAAGAGGAAAAUUUGUAGCACUAAAUGCAUACCUCAGAAAAGAGGAAAAGUCUCAAAUGAAAAACUUAAACUCUCCUUCAAGAACUUAGAAAAACGACCAAAUACAGUGGCUCAUGCCUGUAAUCCCAGAACUUUGGAAGGCUGAGGCAGGAGAAUCACUUGAGCCCAGGAGUUUAAGACCAGCCUGGGCAACACAGUGAGAUCUCAUCAAUAUUUAUGUUAUUUAAAAAAAAGAAGAACUUAAAAAAAGAGAGCAAAAUAAGCCUAAAACCAGCACAAGAAAGGAAAUAAUAAAGAGCAGAAAUCAAUGAAAUGAAAAACAGAAUAACAUUAGAAAAAGUUGGUGGAGUCAAGAGUGUGUUCUUUGAAAAGAUCUGUAAAACUGACCAAGCUCUGACAAGACUGACGAAGAAAAAAAUUACUAAUAUCGCUUAUAGAUUUUAGAAAUUAUAGUACACAGUUACCAAUAUCAGGAGUGAAACAGAGGAAAUCACUACAGACGCUGCGGACAUCAAAAGGAUAACGAAAUGCUACAAACAACUCUGCAUACAUAAAUUUGAUAACUUAGAUUAAAUGGACCAAUUCCUUGUAAAGUACAAACUACCGCAACUCACCUAAUUGAAAUAGAUGGGGAAAGAAAGAAUUAGACCUUCAG